rnacentral:rRNA from 1 species
GUAGGUGGCAAGCGUUGUCCGGAAUUAUUGGGGCGUAAAGCGCGCGCAGGCGGUUCUUUAAGUCUGAUGUGAAAGCCCACGGGCUCAACCGUGGAGGGUCAUUGGAAACUGGAGAACUUGAGUACAGAAGAGGAAAGCGGAAUUCCACGUGUAGCGGUGAAAUGCGUAGAGAUGUGGAGGAACACCAGUGGCGAAGGCGGCUUUCUGGUCUGUAACUGACGCUGAGGCGCGAAAGCGUGGGGAGCAAACAGGAUUAGAUACCCUGGUAGUCCACGCCGUAAACGAUGAGUGCUAAGUGUUAGGGGGUUUCCGCCCCUUAGUGCUGCAGCUAACGCAUUAAGCACUCCGCCUGGGGAGCACGGCCGCAAAGGCUG